AAAUGCGAUACGUAGUGUGAAUUGCAGAAUUCAGUGAAUCAUCGAAUCUUUGAACGCACAUUGCGCCCGCCAGCACUCUGGCGGGCAUGCCUGUUCGAGCGUCAUUUCAACCCUCAGAACCCCUUGCGGGAUCUGGCGUUGGGGAUUGGCAUCCAGCCAGCCCCGAAAUCUAGUGGCGGUCCCUCCGCGACCUCCCCUGUGCAGUAGCGAUACCUCGCAGCGGGACAGCGGUCUGACCACGCCGUAAAACCCCCAACUUCUCAAGGUUGACCUCGAAUCAGGUAGGAAUACCCGCUGAACUUAAGC
rnacentral:misc_RNA from 1 species